CUACCAUUCGAGCCUUAAAUGAAGAUAGGCCCGGUGACGAUGGGCGCUUGCUUAAAACAUUACCCAAAUGAUGGCCCCGUCCCCUCACGGGGGAGUCAAAGGCAUACACAGAGAAGCCAGGCUGCACGUAGGAGCAACAUGAAGGAGCUGUAGGGAAGCUAAACCAGAGAUCAGUGAUGACAUGUAGUUUAAGGAUUA